UACAUAGGUCCCGAGCGUUAUCCGGAUUUAUUGGGCGUAAAGGGAACGCAGGCGGUCUUUUAAGUCUGAUGUGAAAGCCUUCGGCUUAACCGGAGUAGUGCAUUGGAAACUGGGAGACUUGAGUGCAGAAGAGGAGAGUGGAACUCCAUGUGUAGCGGUGAAAUGCGUAGAUAUAUGGGAGAACACCAGUGGCGAAAGCGGCUCUCUGGUCUGUAACUGACGCUGAGGUUCGAAAGCGUGGGUAGCAAACAGG
rnacentral:rRNA from 1 species